CUUGCGGACUAUUUCGUUGGUUUCUAGGACGUGAGUAAUGAUUAAUAGGGAUAGUUGGGGGCAUUCGUAUUUAAUUGUCAGAGGUGAAAUUCUUAGAUUUAUGAAAGACGAACUUCUGCGAAAGCAUUUGCCAAGGAUGUUUUCAUUAAUCAAGAACGAAAGUUAGGGGAUCGAAGACGAUCAGAUACCGUCGUAGUCUUAACCAUAAACUAUGCCGACUAGGGAUUGGCGGAUGUUCCAUAUACGACUCCUUCAGCACCUUUAGCGAAAGCAAAGUUUUUGGGUUCCGGGGGGAGUAUGGUCGCAAGGCUGAAACUUAAAGGAAUUGACGGAAGGGCACCACCAGGAGUGGAGCCUGCGGCUUAAUUUGACUCAACACGGGGAAACUCA
rnacentral:rRNA from 1 species